GACAAUGGCAGGGUGGAUAAAUCGCCACAUUGUAGCCCAUUUGAUUUGGGGUGGGUGGAAGGGAAGCUGACGGAGGAUGUUGGCAUUUGUCACGGGCGUGUCAGGCGCUGCAUGACGCAGCAGGCAGGCGCCUCUGGUCCCAGGCAGAGAGAGGGACGGGCGGUCCCCCAAAGGGGUCGGUGGCAGGGAGCAGGUGCUGGCGGCUGGGGGAGGGCUGAGGAUGCUCUGCUCUCUUGUCAUUUAGCUACAGCAUGAAUUAUUAAUGGACCGCUGUCACACACACACACACACACACACACACACACACACACACACACACAGCUGAGCAUCGUUUUGCCAUCGUUCAGCUCCUGUUCUGCUCUGUGCUGUGAUGAUGAAAGUGCCGUUUGAUCAGAGGGUAGGAGUGGCACUGGGAGGACUGCCAUUCCACCCGCAUAUUCGGCAAGGAGGCCAGGAGCGCGGUCUGCGCUGGGCUCUCAUCCUUCCUCGGAGCUCUGAUGCAUCGUGAAGAUGUGCUUCAUGCUCACUGCUCUGCUCCUGGAGCUGCCACAGAGCUGCCACAGAGGAUCCCUGAGACACACCUGGUUGGGCUUCCUUCCAAGAUGGUGGCAGCAUUCCUGGAGAACACUCGCCAAACAUCUGCGGGCCUCCAUGUGCUAAGUGACAUCACCAAGCUCAGAGUCACUGUGGGGCUGUGCAUGGUACGGAUACCAGAAGACAUGGUUGAUUGGGGCAGUUAAUAUAACAAGUGACUACUCCAGCUUCUCUCUGGAGAAUAGAUUUGGGGCAGGAGGGAUGGCAGAGCCAGGAGGCCAGCUAGGAGGCUCCAUGAUCACUCAGGGGAAAAUGGUGCAGGUGAGUGGAGUGGUAAGAAAUAACCCAGUUACGAUAUAUUUUGUAGAUGGAACCUGAAAAUGGUUUGUUGGUAGAUGGUGCAUGAGAUGUGACAGAGAGGGUAUUUAAGGAUGACUCCAAGGUAUCUGUCUCUGGCGACUCCAAGGGCAGAGUUGCUAUAUAGGAGAGGCAUAGACUGGCUGGAGGGUGGAUUUUUGCACGCUGAACAGUGGGAGUUGUUUUGGACCUGUCCAGUUUAAGAUACCUACUUUAGAUGUUAGGUGAAUAUACUGUUAUGGACUUGGGAGAUGAGUCUGGGAUGGAGGAACACAUUUGGGAAUUGUCAGCCUAUUGAUGAGAAACAAACUGAGGGCUUCAGAGGGGAGGGAGGUGGGGGAUCAGGAUAGACUGGUGAUGGGUAGUAAGGAGGGCACGUAUUGCAUGGUGCACUGGGUGUUAUACGCAACUAAUGAAUCAUCGAACUUUACAUCGGAAACUGGGGAUGUAAUGUAUGGUGACUAACAUAAUAUAAUAAAAAAAAA
rnacentral:lncRNA from 1 species